GAGGGGAUGAGGAUAGGUAGGUAGUGGGAGGGGAUGUGGAUAGGUAGGUAGUCGGAGGGGAUGAGGAUAGGUAGGUAGUCGGAGGGGAUGAGAAUAGGUAGGUAGUCGGAGGGGAUGAGGAUAGGUAGGUAGUCGGAGGGGAUGAGGAUAGGUAGGUAGUCGGAGGGGAUGAGGAUAGGUAGGUAGUGGGAGGGGAUGAGGAUAGGUAGGUAGUCGGAGGGGAUGAGGAUAGGUAGGUAGUCGGAGGGGAUGAGGAUAGGUAGGUAGUGGGAGGGGAUGAGGAUAGCUAGGUAGUCAGAGGGGAUGAGGAUAGCUAGGUAGUCAGAGGGGAUGAGGAUAGCUAGGUAGUCGGAGGGGAUGAGGAUAGCUAGGUAGUCAGAGGGGAUGAGGAUAGCUAGGUAGUCAGAGGGGAUGAGGAUAGCUAGGUAGUCAGAGGGGAUGAGGAUAGCUAGGUAGUCAGAGGGGAUGAGGAUAGCUAGGUAGUCAGAGGGGAUGAGGAUAGCUAGGUAGUCAGAGGGGAUGAGGAUAGCUAGGGGUGGUAAUAAUGGUGUAUAACAUCACGUAUGGGGAUCAGUAGUCUACCACAGAGGAGAGGAGGUCCUGGGUGACUGGUCUGCAGACCUGGGUUCAAACUACUUUAAAUAGUUAAACAUGCUUAAUAUAUUGUUGAUUGAGAUUGUCUGGCUUAACAGACCAGUAGCACAGUCCUAAAACCGCAAAAUCCACCCAUCAGACCCCGCCCACCAGGCCGCUCCC